rnacentral:rRNA from 1 species
AGCUUGGAGGGGCUGUCAGAUGCCCAGGCCCUUGAGGCCGAUCCCAGGUGGAACGGUUCCUAGAAAAGCUCUGGGGGCAAAGCGUGUCCCGUACCAAAACUGACACAGGUGGAUGUGGCGAAUAGCCUAAGGCGCGCGAGAGAACGGUCGUGAAGGAACUAGGCAAAUUAACCCCGUAACUUCGGGAUAAGGGGGCCCUAACUCGCAAGAGAAGGGCGCAGAGAAAAGGAUCUGGGAACUGUUUAUCAAAAACACAGCUCUGUGCUAAGACGCAAGUCGACGUAUACAGAGUGACGCUUGCCCGAUGCCGGAAUGUCAAGAGAGUGGGUCAUCGAAAGAGAAGCUUGCGAUCGAAGCACCGGUGAAUGGCGGCCGUAACUAUGACGGUCCUAAGGUAGCGAAGUUCCUUGUCGGGUAAGUUCCGACGCGCAUGAAUAGCGUAAUCACUGGAUCUCUGUCUCCACGACCGACUCGGUGAAAUAGUAGUGGCGGUGGAGAUGCCGCCUACCCGCAGCAAGACGGAAAGACCCCGUGGACCUUCACUAUAGGUCCCUAUUGGCCACGAGCAUAUGCUGCGUAGCAUAGGUGGGAGGCUUUGACGACCGGGUUCCGGCCCGGUAAGAGCCAAAGGUGAAAUACCACCCUGUGUAAGUUUGUGGCCUAACUCUGAUUCCCAUGAAUCUGGGCGGAGGACAGUGGGCGCCGGGUAGUUUGACUGGGGCGGUCUCCUCCAAAAGAGUAACGGAGGAGCGCAAAGUUCGGCUCAGCACGGAUGGAAACCGUGUUUCGAGUGCAAGAGCAUAAGCCGGAUUUACUGCGAGACCGACGGGUCGAGCAGUCUCGAAAGAGGGCUCUAGUGAUCCUGCGAUCCCGUGUGGAAGGGUCGUAGCUCAACGGAUAAAAGGUACCCCGGGGAUAACAGGCUGAUCGCGCCCAGCGUCCAUAGCGGCGGCGCGGUUUGGCACCUCGAUGUCGGCCCAUCACAUCCUGGGACUGAAGGCGGCCCCAAGGGUUCGGCUGUUCGCCGAUUAAAGUGGUACGCGAGCUGGGUUCAGACCGGCGUGAGCCAGGUCGGUCCCUAUCUGCUGUGGGCGUCGCAAGCUUGAGAGGAGUCAACCUUAGUACGAGAGGAUUGGGUUGGACAUACCCCUGGUGAUCCAGUUGCACUGCUAAGUGCACAGCUGGGUAGCUACGUAUGGCAGGGAUAACCGCUGAAAGCAUCUAAGCGGGAAGCCCCCCUCAAGAUCAGGCUUGCUGGUCGAAAGACGAAAGACCCCUGGUAGACCACCAGGUUGAUAGGCCGCGAGUGUACGGGCAGAAAUGCCUUGAGCUGAGCGGUACUAACGGUCGAACGCUUGGUCAU